UACGGGGGGGGCAAGCGUUGUUCGGAAUUACUGGGCGUAAAGGGCUUGUAGGUGGCCAACUAAGUCAGACGUGAAAUCCCUCAGCUUAACUGGGGAACUGCUUCUGAUACUGGAUGGCUUGAGUUUGGGAGAGGGGUGCGGAAUUCCAGGUGUAGCGGUGAAAUGCGUAGAUAUCUGGAGGAACACCGGUGGCGAAGGCGGCAUCCUGGACCAACACUGACACUGAAAAGCGAAGCCAGGGGAGCAAACGGG
rnacentral:rRNA from 1 species